rnacentral:rRNA from 1 species
GGGACUGCGCUAUCAGCUUGUUGGUGAGGUAAUNNCCCACCAAGGCGAUUACAGGUACGGGCUNUGAGAGNAGAAGCCCGGAGAUGGGUACUGAGACACGGACCCAGGCCCUAUGGGGCGCAGCAGGCGAGAAAACUUUGCAAUGUGCGAAAGCNCGACAANGGUUAGUCCGAGUGAUUUCUGCUAAAGAAAUCUUUUGCAAGUCGUAAAACCACUAGUGAAUAAGGGGUGGGCAAGUUCUGGUGUCAGCCGCCGCGGUAAAACCAGCACCUCGAGUGGUCAGGAGGAUUAUUGGGCCUAAAGCAUCCGUAGCCGGCUCUGUUAGUUUUUCGGUUAAAUCCAUAUGCUCAACAUAUGGGCUGCCGAAAAUACUGCACAGCUAGGGAGUGGGAGAGGUAGACGGUACUCGGUAGGAAGGGGUAAAAUCCUUUGAUCUAUCGAUGACCACCUGUGGCGAAGGCGGUCUACCAGAACACGUUCGACGGUGAGGGAUGAAAGCUGGGGGAGCAAACCGGAUUAGAUACCCGGGUAGUCCCAGCUGUAAACGAUGCAGACUCGAUGAUGCAUUGGCAUAUAGCUAGUGCAGUGUCGCAGGGAAGCCGUUAAGUCUGCCGCCUGGGAAGUACGUACGCAAGUAUGAAACUUAAAGGAAUUGGCGGGGGAGCACCACAAGGGGUGAAGCCUGCGGUUCAAUUGGAGUCAACGCCAGAAAUCUUACCCGGAGAGACAGCAGAAUGAAGGUCAAGCUGAAGACUUUACCAGACAAGCUGAGAGGUGGUGCAUGGCCGUCGCCAGCUCGUGCCGUGAGAUGUCCUGUUAAGUCAGGUAACGAGCGAGAUCCCUGCCAUUAGUUGCUAUCAUUAUUCUCAGGAAUAGUGGGGCGAACUAGUGGGACUGCCGUUGUUAAAACGGAGGAAGGAAGGGGCUACGGCAGGUCAGUAUGCCCCGAAACUCUGGGGCCACACGCGGGCUGCAAUGGUAGUGACAAUGAGUUCCAAACUCGAAAGAGAGUGGCAAUCUCCAAACACUACCACAGUUAUGACUGAGGGCUGUAACUCGCCCUCACGAAUAUGGAAUCCCUAGUAACCGCGCGUCAUUACCACGCGGUGAAUACGUCCCUGCUCCUUGCACACACCGCCCGUCGUUUCAUCGAAGUUUGCUUUUAGCGAGGUGAUGUUUAAUUGGCAUUAUCGAAC